ensembl:lncRNA
UAAGGUUAGGGUUAGUGCUAGGGUUAGGUUUUGAAUAAGGGUUAGGAUAAGGGCUAAGGUUAGGGUUAGUGUUAGGGUUAGUGCUAGGGUUAGGUUUUGAAUAAGGGUUAGGAUUUGGGCUAAGGUUAGGGUUAGUGCUAGGGUUAGGUUUUUGAAUAAGGGUUAGGAUAAGGGCUAAGGUUAGGGUUAGUGUUAGGGUUAGGUUUAGAAUAAGGGAUAGGAUAAGGGCUAAGGUUAGGGUUAGUGCUAGGGUUAGGUUUUGAAUAAGGGUUAAGAUAAGUGCUACGGUUAGGGUUAGUGCUAGGGUUAGGUUUUGAAUAAGGGUUAGGAUAAGGGCUAAGAUUAGGGUUAGUGCUAGUGUUAGGUUUAGAAUAAGGGUUAGGAUAAGGGCUAAGGUUAGGGUUAGUGUUAGGGUUAGGUUUAGAAUAAGGGUUAGGAUAAGGGCUAAGGUUAGGGUUAGUGUUAGUGUUAGGUUUAGAAUAAGGGUUAGGAUAAGGGCUAAGGUUAGGGUUAGUGUUAGGAUAAGGGCUAAGGUUAGGGUUAGGGCUAGUGCUAGGCCUAGGGUUAGUAGAUAAUUUGCUGAAAUGUUACUGAUAGAUAGUCUGUGUUACAGAGAGUUUCAACAGUCCCCCUAUAGACAGUCUUCUCAGCAGCAUACAUACAGCCACUAUUGAGUUGAUGACUGAAGGAUGAACAGAAUGCCCAUCAAAAAACAUGCAUGUGGAGAACAACAGAUCUGGGUCCUUCUGAAGACUAGCCGACACUUUUGAAAUCGCUGGUGAUCACGAUUUCCACUGUCUACACACCAGGUAGCCUCCAUCUUCAAUAUUACCAGAUAGAGGUGAGGGAGAGAGCUGGGUCAACCAGGCUAGAUGGUAUAAAGAGAAGUAGUCAAAUAAUGGGGAGCAAGAAAGACAGACACACAAAGGGAUUAACACAUGCAGAAAGAUAACUAUCGAGAGAUAACCUGCUAAACUAUUGGCAUAUCAAAUCAAAUCAAAUGUAUUUAUAUAGCCCUUCGUACAUCAGCUGAUAUCUCAAAGUGCCUUAACAGAAACCCAGC